rnacentral:lncRNA from 1 species
GCAAACUAGCUAGUCCAUUAACACAACGUUGAACUACUUUUGCUGGUUUUCAUUGACUUGCAUAUGAGAUUACAAAGACAAGUACAUGCCCAACUCGCCAUAAUACGACCACACCCUACAAAGGUUUGGUUUACGGACUGGAAUACGAAAAAGUAAAAAACAACAUGACUCAGAAAUUCAUCUUAUUAGUUCGAUGAUUCCAUUACAGACUCGAUGACCAAACCGACGUGCACAACCGUGCUUAAGCAAACAUUACCCACUGAAACAGAAGUAAUAAUAUAUAGUAGUAGUAGAUAAAAAAGAGACCUUGCAGCAUUGCCUUGACUCUCGUGACAUGGCGCACAACCGAUCGAGCCCAAGGUCCCUCCAGCCAGUUCAAACGCCACGACAAACUGCCGAAACCGGGAUGGCCUUGGUGACGAUUUCCCUUACCGGCACCGUGACAUCGCACCUGACACUGAAGACAUCCUCCUUCAAGUAAUCUGAUCUCUCCAGGUCGAUAUGACAAAUGAGACCCUCGUAACCAAACGCACGAUGACCACCUCGUUCGAUGGAGAAAGCGUGCGGCUCCAUGUUACAGGUGUAAGACGGCACGGGAUUCCCAUUCUUAUCGAGCAAGCUAAUUCUGAAUUUGGCUAUAACUUCACUGACACCAUAGAUAGGGUAAUCAAGACGCAGGAAGAUGGAUAUCGAACCCGAAUAGCGUUCGUCCAAACCAUCCGGGUAGUAUUGCAUACGCCAACAAUGCCCUCCCACGAAGAACGUGUCCGAGUCGAAGCAUUUGCCGUUGCCGCGCCUUUUGGUGCGGGAGUAGCCAUCGAUCCGGAGGAUGUGCGAUCCGACGGUCUGAGCGACGACGGCCGACGCGGUCAGCGACGGCUCGCCGCUGCUGGCACCGUCGGCAGACCCAAAUAAAGCGCUGGACAUUGCGUGGCCGGGUUUUUAUGGUAGAGUGGAGAUGGAGGUGGAGGGAGGUUUUUACGGUAGAGUGGAGGUGGAGAAUCGCAGAUCAGAGGGAGCUGGCGAGGUUCUUAUAUACUCACGCGCGUGACAGGGUUGGACUUGGUGUUAAUCUCGACUUAAGCUAGUGGUUUGUAGCAGCCGGCCGGUGAAGUUAGUGCUGGGAGAAGCCAAGAAGUCCAAAGUAUCUAGGAAAUUGCAUAAAUUAAUUAUUAGGUGUUUAAUUACAUCAACGGAAGUGAAUGUGUGUGGGUGGGCGCAUUCCUAGCGGUAGCCUACGAAUCGCCACCGUGUUUAAUUACCUCGGUCGAGGAGUCCGUUCAUCGAAGCGAUGCAUCAUCCGCCAACACCUCCCGCUCCCCAUAUGCGGUUCGUCAGCUCUUAUUGCCCAGCGGCUCCCGCUGAGAAAAAGUUAAAGCACAGCAACGCUUUCUGUUCUUUUGUUUCUGCGCAGAACAUUGUUUCUAGACUCUCGUUUUUGUUUUCGAUGGAGUACCCAGAGGGGCUACAAUCAUUUUGCAUAGUACAAUCAGCUAGGAAGCUCUAGACUGCGCUUGCAAUUUAUCGAUUGCCUGGUCAUAUUUUGGCUUGUUUUACUGUAUUAUACGAAUAUCCAUUUCGGCUUCCGAGCUCAUCUGAUCUUGGUUAACUCUAUACUAUAUUGCAACUGGUCGGUUGCUCCACUCAUGAUAAGGUUAUUACUAUGGAGUAGACAGAGUUCAGUUUCGCUAUGGAUCUACACGCGUAAUGAUAAUUGCGUGAGAUAUAAAAAAUAAUGUUUGCACCUGUUACUCGACCAGGGCGACUCGGAAGGCGCAAAUCCUAGCCCGCCGUUGGCUCUCCCUUCGCGGACUCACUAAGGCUGAGGAGCUCGAGAGGCUGGAAUGCCAAGCAACCGCUAGGAAAUGUGGCAGCGAGGAUCUGGCUUUGGCACUAGGGGAAAGUACGUAGUUGCCGACGGCUUUUUGUCGGGGCCGUCGGCAUAUAUAGAGAUACGGCAACAAUUGAAAAAAGUCGUCGACGAAGCUGGAGAUGUACCGAUGGCUGCUGUCGGCAUAGUGUUGGCCGUCGGCAUAUAUGCUGACACGUGGCCCAUGCACUAGCGUUGUUAGAUCUAUGCCGACAGCCCUGACGGUGGCCGACGACCCUGACAACGGUCGCCAGCAAAAUAUUUUUUCUAUUAUUUUCUAUUUUUAGAAAGGUAUUAAAGAAGUAUGAAUUAGAUUAAUUAAAAUCUAACUUAUCUAAACUGAAACAUAUACAAAUUAUAUAACACUUUGGGGUAGAGGUUUUCAUAGAUUAUGAAUAACCACUUUGUUUCGGUUUUUGAAUAUGUUAAAAAUGCGACCACAUGUAGUUUUGCAAAUAGGUCCUUAUACUUUGUCAAAAUCACAAGAAUUUCAUACCUGCAUUGAUUUUAAGAAAUUUUCAUAUGUUUUUGGAUCAGAAUCUUGAAAGGAUUUGUAGGUAUACUAUGUUUUGAAAUUUGAACAAACUAAAAUCAUGCUUGCUUCAAAUUUCCGGAAAACCCCCUCUUGUUUUGACUUGUUUGUAUAUUUUGCAUUCUUUGGUCAAAUGAGAAAAACUUCUUCGGGAUGGAAACCUAGAUAUUGGCCUUGUGGCUUGUCGAGCAAAAGUUUGAGGUUGAUUAUUGGUUAAUUUGCCUCGUUGCCAGGAAUGAACACGACUCGCCAAGUAGAGACAUGUCUCCCGGGUGGAGAGAGGCUAGCAUUUUUUUAAUUAUAUAUUUUAAAACUCGAACCAUCCUAGAAAAAAUCAAAUAUUUGCCAUCUUCCAAAAUGAUUAUUUAUGCGAAUAAACUAUUCAUAAAGUUUUGUAGAAAUUAUGACUUGCAAAGAAACAAUUGCCCAUAUAAUAUUAUUCCGGACAUAUAUGCUCAACUCACCAUUGAUAUUCUUGAUGUAAGUUUAAUGUAAAGUUUCCACAAAAUAAUUAAAUAAAAAGUUCGCACAUUUUCUGAAAAAUAAUGACACAUAUGCAUUUCUCACAUGAAACAUUUUAUAGUUUUAUGUAGGUCCAAUUUUGUCGAUGCAUGUCAGAAAAAAUAAGUUGACAAUAAGGUCAGAAUAAAGCGCGUAAGUUAACCCUCAUAUAUAUUUAUCUCUGUUAUCUAGAAAGUAAAGCUAUACUUGGACUUGUUUAUGUUUCAAACUCUAAUUUGUAGUACUUGCUUAUGGUUCAGUCAACAUUUUAUACAAAUUUAAGAAAUGGUAACUCUUUUCUUUUCAACUUUGAAUCUAUUUUUAAAAAAGGACAAAUCGUCUCGUGUGCAGGUCAGAGGCAGAUGAAGACUUGAGGCAUAUGCAGUGGGAGUGCUUCUCCCGCUGCUCGAUGAUGGCAUAGCCAGAUAGGCCUGGACGUUGCCAGCGUACUCCGUGAAACGUACUGGGAAACAAACCAGCUAGUCCAGUACUUCAUUAGGACAAAGUUAAACUAUUUUUGCUGGUUUUCAUUGACAUGCAUAGGCGAUUAAUUACAAAGACAAAUUCGUGCCAAACUUGACAUAAUACGACAGCACCCUGCAAAGUUUCGGUUUACACACUGGAAUACAGAAAACUGAGAAAAGUUAAAAACGAAACGACUCAGACAUUCAUCCUAUAAGUUCGAUGAUUCUGUUACAGACUCGAUGACCAAACGACGUGCACAACUGUGCUUAAGCAAACAUUCCCACUUAAACAGAAGUAAUAACAGUAGAAGAAAAAAAAAGGGACAUAGCAACAUUGCCUCCAAACUCACGACAACGCGCACAACCGAUUGAACUCAAGGAUCCCCCCGGCCAGUUCAAAUGCCACGACGAACUGCGGAAACCGGGAUGGCCUUGGUGACCGUUUUCCCUAGUAGCACGGCCACAUCACACCUGAUGCUGAAAACAUCGUCCUUAAGGUAAUCUGAUCUCUCCAGGUCCAUCCUAUAGAUGAGAGUACCGACACCCCAUUCAGCAUGACCACCUUGCCUGCGGGAGAACGUCGUCGGACCGCCGUCAGGGAUGUUAGACCGCACAGGGUUGCCCGCCUGGUCGAGCAAACUAAUUCUGAAUUUUGCUUUGACUUCGUCGACAUCACUGUGAUCAAGACGCAGGAAGAUUGAUAUUGAAGCAGAAUAGCUUCAGGAGUAACCGUUGGGGUAGUAUUUCAGACACCAACGAUGCCCCCCGACGGUAAAACUCUCCGACGUGAUGAACUUGCCGGUGCCGAGCCCCAUGGUGUGGGAGUAGCCAUUGAUGCGGAGGACGUGGGAUCCGACGGCCUGGGCGUCGAUGGUCGACGCGGUGAGCGACGGCUCGUCGCCGCCUGUGGCACCGACGGCAGUCGCAGCAGCGUUGGACAUGGCGG